rnacentral:ncRNA from 1 species
CAUAAAGAGAGUUUGAUCCUGGCUCAGGAUGAACGCUGGCGGCGUGGAUAAUGCAUGCAAGUCGAACGCCCCGCCCUUUCUUUGAGCAAUCUUAGAAAGGGCGGGGAGUGGCAGACGAGUUAGUAACACGUAGGAACUUACCCCCGACGCGGCCAUAACUCUUCGAAAGAGGAGCUAAUAGCCGAUGGUCUCCGAUCUCGCAAGAGCAUCGGAGUAAAGGAGCAAUCCGGUCGGGGAGAGGCCUGCGGGCUAUCAGCUAGUUGGCGAGGUAAUGGCUCACCAAGGCUAUGACGGCUAGGGGGCGUGAGAGCGCGAUCCCCAACGAUGGAACUGAGACACGGUCCAUACACCUACGGGUGGCAGCAGUAGAGAAUAUUCGACAAUGGGGGAAACCCUGAUCGAGCGACGCCGCGUGCGGGAAGAAGCUCUUCGGAGCGUAAACCGCUUUUCUCUGGGAGGAACUAAAGUGACUGUACCAGAGGAAUAAGGGCUUGCUAACCUCGUGCCAGCAGCCGCGGUAAGACGAGGAGCCCAAGCGUUAUCCGGAUUUACUGGGCGUAAAGGGUGUGUAGGGGGCAUGGUUAGCCCCGCCUUAAAUUCUUAGGCUCAACCUAAGAGGUGGGCGGGGAACGGCCAAGCUUUAGAGGGUGCCAGAGGCAAAUGGAACUCAUGGUGUAGGGGUGAAAUCCGUUGGCUUGGGAAAAACUUGAAGGUUUUUCUAGGCUUUCAAAAAGAAGAUAUUCGCUCCCAUAGUGGGAGCGGAACGUAAGGGUACGUUGAGCGCUAGUCCCCCAGCACCACUUUUGAAUUUGAGUCGUAAAGAUUCGAAAAUAAAAGUGGUGCUGGGGUAAAAAACUUGGCUAUAUGCUGGAAAGUCCGGCGUAUCCAAAACUACUUAGGAGGUUAUUAUGGAAAGAAUUAUUCUUGAGCAAAUAACCAUUAUUCGAGAAGAAAAUGGCUUUGUAAAAAUCGAGAAAUCAACGCCAUUUGGGAAGACGCAUGUCAUUGAAAUGGAAGUACGCUUCCCAGUUCAUGAACUCGAGAAAUUGUCAGUGAAUGAUUUUCUGGAAAAAGUAUCAGAAAAACUUAAGUAAAAAUGUUUUGGUGCGGACAAUCAGCAGGGAAGUCGCCUUAGGCGACCCCUCAACGACUAUACGCCGAGAGGCAGAAAGGAGGAAAAGGAGGCUUGGAAGCCUAGCUUCCGACCUCCAAAAUCUUAAUUCUGUUUAUGAUAUAGUCUGAACUCCAUGGCGACAUGGAGAGGCAGAUAGAAAUAUUCUGCUCACUUGGCGACCUGGUCGCCAAGUCGUAACAAAUUUGUAGAUACCCUUGUAGUCCACGCCCUAAACGAUGCACGCUAGGCAUCCGAAGUAUCGACCCUUCGGGAGCCGUAAGCUAACGCGUUAAGCGUGCCGCC